rnacentral:rRNA from 1 species
AACGAACGCUGGCGGCAGGCCUAACACAUGCAAGUCGAACGCUGUAGCGAUACAGAGUGGCGGACGGGUGAGUAACGCGUGGGAACGUGCCUUUCGGUUCGGAAUAACGCAUGGAAACGUGUGCUAAUACCGUAUACGCCCUUUUGGGGAAAGAUUUAUCGGGGAUGGAUGAGCCCGCGUUGGAUUAGCUAGUUGGUGGGGUAAAGGCCUACCAAGGCGACGAUCCAUAGCUGGUCUGAGAGGAUGAUCAGCCACAUUGGGACUGAGACACGGCCCAAACUCCUACGGGAGGCAGCAGUGGGGAAUAUUGGACAAUGGGCGCAAGCCUGAUCCAGCCAUGCCGCGUGAGUGAUGAAGGCCCUAGGGUUGUAAAGCUCUUUCACCGGAGAAGAUAAUGACGGUAUCCGGAGAAGAAGCCCCGGCUAACUUCGUGCCAGCCGCCGCAGUAA